rnacentral:rRNA from 1 species
AACGAACGCUGGCGGCAUGCCUAACACAUGCAAGUCGAACGAGACCUUCGGGUCUAGUGGCGCACGGGUGCGUAACGCGUGGGAACCUGCCCUUAGGUUCGGAAUACCUCCCCGAAGGGGGUGCUAAUACCGGUUAAUGUCUUCGGACCAAAGAUGUAUCGCCUUUGGGUGGGCCCGCGUUGGAUUAGCUAGUUGGUAGGGUAAAAGCCUACCAAGGCGACGAUGCAUAGCUGGUCGGAGAGGAUGAUCAGCCACGCUGGGACUGAGACACGGACCAGACUCCUACGGAAGGCAGGAGUGGGGAAUAUUGGACAAGGGGCGAAAGCCUGACACAGCAAUGCCGCGUGAGAGAUGAAGGCCUUAGGGUUGUAAAGCUCUUUUACCCGGGAUGAUAAUGACAGUACCGGGAGAAUAAGCUCCGGCUAACUCCGUG